rnacentral:rRNA from 1 species
UGGGGAAUAUUGGACAAUGGGGGGAACCCUGAUCCAGCCAUGCCGCGUGUGUGAAGAAGGCCUUAUGGUUGUAAAGCACUUUAAGCGAGGAGGAGGGUACUGGUAUUAAUACUACCAGGUACUGGACGUUACUCGCAGAAUAAGCACCGGCUAACUCUGUGCCAGCAGCCGCGGUAAUACAGAGGGUGCGAGCGUUAAUCGGAUUUACUGGGCGUAAAGCGUGCGUAGGCGGCUAAUUGAGUCGGAUGUGAAAUCCCCGAGCUUAACUUGGGAAUUGCAUUCGAUACUGGUUAGCUAGAGUGUGGGAGAGGAUGGUAGAAUUCCAGGUGUAGCGGUGAAAUGCGUAGAGAUCUAGAGGAAUACCGAUGGCGAAGGCAGCCAUCUGGCCUAACACUGACGCUGAGGUACGAAAGCAUGGGGAGCAAACAGG